rnacentral:sRNA from 2 species
GCCACGGAAAGUGAAAACAGUGCGCCUAGAUGGCCACAUGGAUAGAUGAGAGAGGAUGGUUUAAUCCGCGAGCAUCAGUGCACGGUUGCCUGCAGCGUUGCUUCUCAUUGCUGGGAUUGAACAAAGUCCAGAAGUGUCAGGAAAACCAGGAUCCGGGGUAACUCAAGGCAUAAUACGCCUGAUUCCGAUAGCCGCGAAUGUGGAUGUCAUCGCUAGAAGGAGGAAAAGGUUGAGGCGCGUAAUGGAAAACAAAAUUGGGUUAUGCCGCGCGCAUCAUGGAAUGGAAUGCCUGUCUAGGUUCAUCUGGAACGUCUGGGAAAAAGUAAAGAGAAAAAGGGAGAAGGAAAAAAGAAAAAGAAAAAGAAAAGAAAAAGAAAGCGUGGAUUAAGAAAGAAAGUGAAUAGCCGGUAAAAGUUUCUCGAUCAACGAUUGAAGCUGCUUGGCUGUUACUACGGAGGAACGAGGGAUUUCGUCGUGUCUUCCCUCUUUGCCGAGAUUUUUGUCUCUCUUGAGGCAUUGUUCUCGAUCGUGUAGUUGCAAGGCUUUGUAUUUGUUUGUGCAUUGGACACUGAAACACACC